UGACAGUUCCCACAUGCGAUGGG
rnacentral:piRNA from 1 species